CCAAUUUAUGAUUCAAUCAAUACGCUCUCAUUCGGUGGAUAUAACGUCUGCCACACGGAGACAGAACAUUUCCCUGUGGCCCUGGAGGCAUCAGGUAUGUGUACAUCUGGGUGAGUAUUUUAUCCACAUUGCUAAUAAGCUUCAUUUCUUUUUCACAAAAAACACAGUCACAGAAGUGAGUGAUCUAGCUCUCCAUGGCCUCCUCUGGAACUAAGGGAGGACUCUUACCCCUCAAGGAUACAGAGACCUGAGCACGGAUGGUGGGGCUCCCAUCAUAAAUAGUUCUUGAAAUUCCCAUGACUUUGACCUUGAGACUGAAAACAUUCUGGAAAUGAAGUAGCUCUUUUUUCAAUGGAAAUAUCUCUGUUGGCUGAUAGUUGAGUAUUGAGAGUUUAGGCCAAAAAAAAAAAGAAAAAGAGCUAGUACAAUUUUGAGCACAGAAGUCACAAAAGUACCAGGACUGCCAAGAGAAUAUUUCUUAGUCCAUAGAAGUAUGAAAAAUUUUUAACAGUGUCCAAAUAAGGAAUAUUAUCAUUAUGCAGAGAGGAAAAAAAUUCCUUACUGAAAGGUGGAGGGAAAGCUCAUAGAUCUAAGAUUUCUUUUUAAAGCAGACUUACUAAUUCUUCCUGUUCUGAGCUGUUCAGCUUUAUAUAGAUUAUUGACUUGCUCCUGUGGGAAGGUCUGUGACUGCUGAGCUUUGCAGCUCACGCAUGUGUCAAGGACAGUGACAUCAUCUUUUUUUUUUAUUAUUAUUUUUGGUGGUGUCACAUAUCUCUUGGGGCCUUAGUUCCCCAACCAGGGAUUGAAAUUGGCUCCUGGCAGUGAAAGCGCCAAGUCCUAACUACUGGACCUCCAGGGAAUUCCCGAGAGCUCAAGUUCUAUUUCCCUAAAACAGAGCUGGAUGACAUGAGUCUCUGUCCUGGGCCAGAAAUGGUCAUCAGGCACUCCUCCUGUGUGACUUUUCAUCUCCUGUGGGCUAGUAAGUACAGGUGGGGUCUCUCCCUGGAAUUCUCAAGACCUCACUACAAGCCUCCUUUUUGGGAUAAUGACAUCAGCUCUGUCUCUCACAGGACCUGUGGAGGCCGGGAUAGACAAGAUACAAGAUACGAGGUCACAGUGACAAGGAGAGAGAAACACAAAAGAACACAAACUACCUGAACUUUCUAGGUGGUCCAGUGGUUAAGAACCAGCCUGCCAAUGCAGAGGACGUGGGUUUGAUCCCUGGGUUGGGAAGAUUCCACACGUCAUGGGGUAAUUAAGCCCAUGCACCACAGCUGCUGAGUCUGCACGCUAGAGCCUGUGGACCACAAGAGAA
rnacentral:tRNA from 1 species